rnacentral:rRNA from 1 species
AUGGACGCGCCCUUCUUCCACGAGCUCCGGCGGCAGGCCUCGUCCUACCUCACCGGCAAGAUCCGCUCCGCGCGGCUCGCGCUCACCGACGUCACCCCGACGCAGCUGAUGACUGAGGAGGCGACGAACGGCGACGCGUCGCCGCCGAACGCCAAGACGAUGAGCCUCAUCGCGCGGGAGGCGUUCGAGAUCGACGAGUACCUCAGGAUCUCCGACAUCCUCCACACCAGGCUGGCGACGUUCGACAGGAGGCAGUGGCGGGAGCCGUACAAGGCGCUGCUGCUGCUGGAGCACCUCCUGACGCACGGCCCCCGCAGCGUGGCCCUGGAGUUCCAGAAGGACCGGGCCGUCAUCCAGCAGAUGGCCACCUUCCAGCACAUCGACGAGAGAGGUUUCAACUGGGGCCUGACGGUGAAGGGCAAGUCGGAGCGGGUGCUAAAGCUGCUGGAGCGGGGGCCGUUCCUGGAGGAGGAGCGCGAGCGGGCGCGCAAGGUGGCGCGCGAGAUCAAGGGCUUCGGCAGCUUCAACCUCAGCAGCAGCGGCGGCUCGCGCGCGGCGCCGCCGGUGUACUCGCGCAGCCACUCGCGGUACGAGGACCGGCCGUGGAAGGAGGAGGACGGCGAGGAGGAGGACAAGGAGAACCUGGUGUCCCGGCCCGACCCGAGGAGCGUGCGCGAGGAGGUGGCGGAGGAGCUGCACCACCGCCACCCGUUCCACGGCUUCGGGCAGCAGCGGCAGCCGGAGGCGAUGCUGCUGCUCAGCCAGUGA